UGGAGGGGAAUAGAACCCAGGG
rnacentral:misc_RNA from 1 species